UAGGAAAAGGAUAUGAGGAAUUUAAGUCUGGAGGUUAAUUAAACUAAAAGAUAUUUUAUUAUAGUUUAUUACCUAUUAUACUUUUUAUUAUUAAUAACAGUAAUAGUAAAAGAGUAAUAGUAUUAUCAUUAUCCCACACAGAAGCCCCCGCCUCCCCCCUAUUUCCAGUAACCUUCUGCAACACAAUCCUCUUUGCUUUUUGCGCUUUUUUCUUUUUUCUUUGCCAUGUACAGUCAAAUGAGACCUGACACCCUUGCUGGAAAAAAGGAAAACAUCACAGAGAUUCUAAUGGUUUCUAUUACAAAUAACAUUAGAAAACAUCAGCUAACCAUUAAAACCAUUACCAUUAUUGGUCCGUAAUGGUGUCUACUAGAUAUAACAUGGCACCAAUAGAAAACAACAAAUUACCAGUAGAGACCCACAGGGACCAUUAUAGUUUCCAUUAAAAUCAGUGCAAUUCCCUUUAUAAGCAUAAAUCCAUCAACAAUUCUAAGAGGGUUUCUAUUGUUGUUGUUGUUUUUUUUUUUUUUUUCCAGCAGGGACAGCAUCCAAAAAUUGAACACACAGAAUAUGUGUGCAGAAUUAGAUAGAAUAUGUGUGGGAGAUGGUGGAUUUUUAUCUGAAACAUCCUGUCUCUAUGGAAUCUUUGUGUACUAUGCUUAACUUUAACUACAUCUACUGUAUAAUUAUUAUGGAACAGCAUGGUGGUGCACUGGGUUGUACAAUGGCAUCACAGCUCCAGGGUCACUGGUUUGACCUUCAGCUCAAGUUACUCUGUGUGUGGAGUUUCAUACAGUGGCAAGAAAAACCCAUUCUUCCUGCAGAACUGCUUUAGCUCUGUCGUAUUCUUUGGAUGUCUCAUGUGUAUGGCUCUUUUCACUUCAUUCCAUAGCAUCUCUAUUGGGAUGAGGUCUGGGCUCUGACUCCGCCCCUCCAAAAGGCGGAUUCUGUUUUUCUGAAGCCAUUCUGUUGUGGACUUGCUCCAGUGUUUUGGGUUGUUGUCCUGUUGCAUCACUCAACUUCUACACAGUUUCAGCUGACGUACAGACAUUCUCACAUUAUCCUGAAGAAUUGUCUGAUAUACUUGGGAAUUCAUCUUCCCCUCAAUGAUUGCAAGCUGGCCAGGCCCUGAUGCAGCAAAGCAGGCCCAAAUCAUGACGUUUCCUCCACCAUACUUUACGGUUGGAAUGAUUUUUUAAUGAUGAUAUGCCGUGCCCUUUCUACGCCAGAUGUAGUGCUGUGUGGUUUUUCCAGAUAGUUCAAUCUUAGUUUCAUCAGUCCACAAAACAUUUAGCCCAUACCGCUGUGUAGUGUCAGUGUGCUCUUUUGCAAACUUCAGGCGUGCAGCUAUGUUCUUUUUAGUAAGCAGUGGCUUCCUUCGUGGUGUCCUGCCGUAGAUACCCUGCUUGUUCAAUGUUUUACGUAUUGUAGACUCAUGAACAGAGAUGUUAGCCAGUUCCAAUGAUGCCUUCAAAUCUUUGGCUGUCAUUCAGGGUUGUUUCUUUACCUCAUUGAUGAGUCUUCGUUGUGCUCUUGGUGUCAUUUUGACUGGGUGCCCACUUCUUGGCAGAGUAGCAACAGUCCCAAAGUGUCUCCAUUUGUAGAAUGUUUGCCUAACUGUUUCUAAAGUCUUUGAAAUCACUUUGUAACCCUUGCCAGCUUUAUGUAAAUCAACAAUUCUUGAUCGUCGAUCUUCUGAAAGCUCUUUUUGGCGAGGCAUGGCUCACAUAAGCGUGUGCCAUUUGUGCAGCGCAAAGGUUUUUAUCAGUCAAAGUAGCUGUAGUCCACACCUCCACACUCAUUUUCGUAACGAGACUCCAGGUGUGCUAAAACCUGACUCCAAUUAGCUUUUUUCAGGUCAUUAACUCAAGGGUUCACAUACUUUUUCCACAAGCACUAUGAGUUUUUUUGGUUGUUCUCAAUAGAGACAUGAGGGAUCAGAAUUUAUUUUGUGUUUUUAUUUUAGGCACAUUAUAUCUGUCAAUACCCUUGACUUAGAUGAAGAUCAGAUCACACUUUAUAACAAAUUUAUGCAGAAAACCAUGAAAUUCCAAAAGGUUCACAUACUUUUUCUUGCCACUGUAUGCUCUAUAUUCUCACUAUUUCCAUGUUGGCUUCCUCCAGGUUCUCCGGUUUCCUCGUAUUUCCAAAACACAUGCCUGUAUGUGGACUGGCUACUCUAAAUUGUCUAUAUUUGUGAAAUUGGGAAAGCAUGGUGCCCUGUCAUAAAUAGAUGUCCCAAUCAUGGUGUAUUUUCGCUUCAUGCGCAGCAUUCCCAGGAUAGGUUACCUGACCAGGAUAAAGCACUUAAUUAAGACGAGUGAAUAAAUUAGUAAAAUUAUUACUUAAAAAGAACAGUCAAAAAUCAAACUGGUCUUUCUGACAUUUUCCCACAAUGCUGGCCAGUCCAGGCACUUAGCAUUAAGUAUGCAGUCUGCAUGUGUGUGCAGUGAGUGUAUAAAACUGCACUAACUUUAUUACAAGACCAUUAAAAUCCUCCCGCUCUGUAAGAGUAUCUACUGAACUGCUGCAGCAAGAAGGCAAGAAAAGUGAAGCUCCUCUAAUGAGGGAAGAUUCCACUUUCAAAAGAUCCUCGAGUCCCUGAUCCAUAAUUACAGGCUUGUUUGUUGGCAAAAACACAUAAUUAUACGAAUUUGAUCAGUGCUAAUUAAACCAUAGGGAAAUAACCCAAAGACAGCUUUGUUGGGUGGCGGAAGGGUAUUACAGGUUUUAAUUAAAGGUGCACCGAUAUGUCCCUCAUACAGUAGAUACAUUACCUGAGAGUUUUAGCUUUGUAUAUGAUGUCCACUUAAUUUACACAAUGGAUAAAGAGUGGUGAAA
ensembl:lncRNA